AUGCUGUUUGCCAGCUGCAUUGUGUGGGCGAACUGCUUUUCGCCCACACAGCCACCAACUAGGUCAUGCGCGUGUGGGCGAACUGCUUUUCGCCCACACGACACUACUACCUUGUGGAUGGCAACUGCAGUUACGCGAACGUGCAACUUGGUACACACACAUGGCAAUUGUGAUUCUUUGCUACAUGGCAACUACAGUUACGCGAACGUGGCAACUCGGUACACACACAUGGCAACUGUGAUUCUUUGCUACACGGCAACUGCAGUUGCGCGUACGUGGCAACCAGAUAAACACACAUUGCAACUGUGA
rnacentral:rRNA from 1 species